UACGGAGGAUGCGAGCGUUAUCCGGAUUUAUUGGGUUUAAAGGGUGCGUAGGCGGCGAGUUAAGUCAGCGGUAAAAGCCCGGGGCUCAACCCCGUCGUGCCGUUGAAACUGGCGUUCUUGAGUGAGCGAGAAGUAUGCGGAAUGCGUGGUGUAGCGGUGAAAUGCAUAGAUAUCACGCAGAACUCCGAUUGCGAAGGCAGCAUACCGGCGCUCAACUGACGCUCAUGCACGAAAGCGUGGGUAUCGAACAGG
rnacentral:rRNA from 1 species